rnacentral:rRNA from 1 species
CAGCAGCCACGGGAAUACGUAGGUGGCAAGCGUUGUCCGGAUUUAUUGGGCGUAAAGCGAGCGCAGGCGGUCAAUUAAGUCUGAUGUGAAAGCCCACGGCUCAACCGUGGAGGGUCAUUGAAACUGUUAAACUUGAGUGCAGGAGAGAAAAGUGGAAUUCCUAGUGUAGCGGUGAAAUGCGUAGAGAUUAGGAGGAACACCAGUGGCGAAGGCGGCUUUUUGGCCUGUAACUGACACUGAGGCGCGAAAGCGUGGAGAGCAAACAGGAUUAGAUACCCGUGUAGUCCCUGUCUCUUAUACC